AUUGAACGCUGGCGGCAUGCUUUACACAUGCAAGUCGAACGGUAACAGGGUGCUUGCACCGCUGACGAGUGGCGAACGGGUGAGUAAUGCGUCGGAACGUGCCGAGUAGUGGGGGAUAACGCAGCGAAAGUUGUGCUAAUACCGCAUACGUACUGAGGUAGAAAGUGGGGGACCUUCGGGCCUCACGCUAUUCGAGCGGCCGACGUCUGAUUAGCUAGUAGGUGAGGGAAAGGCUCACCUAGGAGACGAUCAGUAGCGGGUCUGAGAGGAUGUAGAGUCACCCUGGGACGGCGACACGGACAAGACUGCGACGGGUGGCAGCGGUGGUGGAUGUUGGACAAGGGGCGAAAGCCUGAUCCAGCCAUGCCGCGUGUCUGAAGAAGGCCUUCGGGUUGUAAAGGACUUUUGUCAGGGAGGAAAUCCCUAGUGCUAAUAACACUGGUGGAUGACAGUACCUGAAGAAUAAGCACCGGCUAACUACGUGCCAGCCGCCGCAGUAAAAC
rnacentral:rRNA from 1 species